AAUAUUUUUACAAUAUUUUAAUAUAAACUCAAAAUUAAAGUUUGUCGUUUGUAGGUUGUAGCCUUGCAUUGCGUCCCUGGAUCCCUUUGUAUCAGCUCCAUGGGCGGCAUAACUGACGUGGUAGGUUCACCUAUGGACGGACUUAGUUUUGGGGCGCUGGGCGAGGGUUUCGCCUUCUGUCACUUGGAUCCACUCCUGUCUUAUCCAUUCACCACAAUUCAUCUCCGCCCCCCUUAUUUCCUUUAAAAAAUUAAGCAUGCAGCGGCGCCGCCUUCCUCCUGCUCCCGCUUAAUUUCUGUGUGCACUGCAAAAUUGAACGCGAAAAUUUAUUGGUUUGGAGAAUCAGUUGUUGCAGUUGCAGAGAAUCAAGGACCAGAUCGAUCGAUGUCGAGCCUGGUGGACAUUUGGACGUGGGAGUUGGUCAGACUGAGAGCCAAAGAGGCCGAAUUCAAUCGCAACUCGUCGGCAGCAGCAGCAGCACUGCGGAGGCGAGGAAGCGAGGAGAAGGCGAAGGAUGAUACGCCGGCGUUGAGGAUGAAGGAAGAGAAGAAGUUGAUGUCGUCGUUCGAGCAUGGCGUCGGCUUCUCCGAGGCCUCCGUCUUCAUGCUCAUGGAUCGAUUUGCGAAUAUUUAAUUAUAAUGAGCAAUUCAAGCUUUUCCCAACCAUGUAAUUACAAGUCCAUUACCUUGAAAUUUUUUUUUGUUAUUGUUGUUGUUGUUUAAUUUAUUUU